rnacentral:rRNA from 1 species
GGACGAACGCUGGCGGCACGCUUAACACAUGCAAGUCGAACGGAGCUAAGAAGGAGCUUGCUUCAUCUAGCUAGUGGCGGACGGGUGAGUAACACGUGAGCAACCUGCCUUUAAGAGUGGAAUAGCUUCUGGAAACGGAUGGUAAUACCGCAUAACAUUACGGGACCGCAUGAUUCUGUAAUCAAAGAUUUAUCGCUUAAAGAUGGGCUCGCGUCUGAUUAGAUAGUUGGUGGGGUAACGGCCUACCAAGUCGACGAUCAGUAGCGGGACUGAGAGGUUGAACGGCCACAUUGGGACUGAGACACGGCCCAGACUCCUACGGGAGGCAGCAGUGGGGAAUAUUGCACAAUGGGCGGAAGCCCUGAUGCAGCGAUGCCGCGUGGAGGAAGAAGGUUUUCGGAUUGUAAACUCCUUUUAUCAGGGACGAUAAUGACGGUACCUGAAGAAAAAGCUCCGGCUAACUACGUGCCAGCCGCGGC